AUGAUCAGGUGGCUAGUUCUUGCCAUGCUGCUUCCAGAACCCAGAAACCAAGUUCUCCAGGAGACGGGUAGAGGGAAGGCUGGCUCAAAGCCCCAAGAUAGACACGAAGGGUCCUAUGCACUUGAGGGACCAGAACAGGGUGGGUCCAAGAGGGAGGGUCCAGAGGAGAUGGACGCCAGCCCUCAGUUGGAAAAGGGCUGUGGACUAAGUUCCCAGAGGGACCAAAUUCUUACCCAACUUGGCCGCUGGGCCAACCCAAACCUGCCUUGAGUUAGAAGUUGUUGACUGUCAUUUUUCCAGAUCAUAUCAAGGACAACAAGGUAAGAAUGGGGUACUUUAUAAGCUCUGCCAAGCAAUAAUUAGUGGCUAUACUCUCCAAGAAAUCUAACCUACGGUUGCUCGAUUAUUUCUGUAUUUGUGUCUGUGUGUGUGUUUUCCUUUUGAAAAUGUUAAUGGAGAUCUUGGCUAGACUCGUACUUAAGGAGGGUCAAGAGAGUCUAUGCAUUGAUGCUGAUGGGAGGCGAAAUCUGGGUGCUCAUAGCCCUUAGGUAAAGGAGAGCCAUGUUCUCAGCAUAUCUGUCCAGCGCACACAAGAUUGAAAUUGUAAUUGCAGAGAAAGCAACUGAUUAAAAGUUUGUAAAAUUGUCUCUAACAACUUGAAGUCUGGAGACAAGCCAAUGCUCUUAAAGAUAAGUGGGUCAGGCUGUUGGCAGAAAUCUAAUAUCCCAUUUUUUUCUUAUAGUUUUCGAGUUCAAUAGUCACUGAAAUGAUAGUUGGCAAUUUUUUCUGUGCCUGGCGCUCUUCUAAAACCCUUUAAAGGGAUUGUCUCAUUACAUCUUCAUUUACUCUUCAUCAUCUGGAGGGAGCCACUAUUUUUCUUUUUUUUUUUUUUUUUUGGAAUGGCUGAACCUUCGGCAUAUGGAAGUUCCUGGGCUGGGGAUCGAACCCACGCCUCUGCAGUAAGCAGAGCCACUGCAGUCGAUUCUUAACCUACUGUACCAUGGUAGGAACUCUGAGCCACUAUUCUGACCACAGUUUUACAUACGAGGAAACUGAGGCCCAAAGAGAGUGUGUAGUUUGCUCAGACUGAGAGCUGACUGACUCCAGAUGCUGCAUUCUUUCCCAUAAGCAUUGGAGACCCAGGGGUGAUUGUCAUGUGGUGCCAUAGUAGGUCAGCUCAGUGUCAGAGCCGUGGGGGACAUCAUGGUGUCUGAAGGCAAUCACCUGUGGUCCAGAGCUAACAACCAACAAGUGAUAGAACUUUGAACUUUUCAGCCUAUGGUUUUGUCAUCAUACAGACAAUCCUUUGAGAGAGAGAAAGGGCAGGGAGUGUGUGCUGGGGAAGAGAGUGGGUGGAUUUGGAACUGGUAUAGCUGGUACACAGUUCACUUCUGCAAAGAAUGACAGUGGCUUAAUUUAUUAAAAUUUCAGAAAGGUUGCAAGGAUGAGUUAGAGGGGCUUAGAUAAAUUUGCUAUGGGCCAGUGAAGCUAGCAACCAGGGGCAGGUCACCGAGGCAGGGAAGAUUUUUCAUUUUCCUCUUAAAAGAACUCUAGGAGUUCCCGUCAUGGCACAGUGGUUAACGAAUCCGGCUAGAAACCAUGAGGUUGUGGGUUCAAUCUCUGCCCUUGCUCAGUGGGUUAAUGAUCCAGCGAUGCUGUGAGCUGUGGUGUAGGUCGCAGACGCGGCUCUGGCAUAGGGUGGCAGCUACAGCUCCGAUUGGACCCCUGGCCUGGGAAACUCCAUAUGCCGUGGGAGCAGCUCAAGAAAUGGCAAAAAGACAAAAAAAAAAAAAAAAAAGAAAAAAAAAAGAACUCGAAAAUAACAGCUCCCAUGUUUCCCGAUUGGGGGAGGGGACUUGGUAGGAUGACAUCAUGAACAGAGCACAGGCCCAGGAGCCAGGAGAACAGGUCUAGGCUCAUUCUGAACAAACCAUUUUAAACUCUCAGCCUCAGUUUCCCUUCCAUAAAAUAAGCCUGUUGGAAUAUUUCUUAAGUCCUUCCAGCCAUAAAAUUCUAAGGCUCUCCAGCAGGUUUGUUGCAGUGACAAAUAAAACGAGUGCUUUUAAAGUAGUAAAAGGCUGG
ensembl:lncRNA